CGGGAAGAAUUAAAGAGGAUCUGCAGCCUGCCCGGCAGCUCCAGCAGGAGGGCUCUGAGUCCCGUGGUGCUUUAAGCCGCCGGCUGAGAAUUGAGAAGGCUGAGGAAGUCCAGGGCUGAGAGAGGGCCCUGACCCAAGUCAGUUCUGAGAGAGGGCCCCGCCCCCACCCCACGUGGCUUUGGCUGGAUGGAAGCUGCAGGUGCAGGCCCCAGAUUUGUAGGGUCCAUUAGAAGAGGUGCCUUCCCAACCUCAGGAGAAGCACCUAUGUUGUUCUACUCACUCCCUUCCUCUCCGACCAACCCUUCCCUUUGCUUAGGAAUGAGCUAGAAGACAGAACCAAAUUAACUCAGUCUUGCUCUAUGAAAUCAAAGUGACAUGGCAAAAAAAAUAGGAAAAGGGCUUGAAAACAGCAAGCAUGUUUUCGAGUGUGUGUGUGUGUGUGUGUGUGUGUGUGUGUGUGUGUGUGUGUGUGUGUGCUGGGUUUCUCCUUUGAAAAACAGGUUCGAGUUUUCCAACUUUGAGGAGUUCUCAUUUCAGUUGGGUUUCGGGGUGGUUUGCAGGGUGGUUAAAUGGCGUCCCACUUUUGCAUCCCACGGCUAUGGCUUCUCUGCAGCCCUCCUGUGCGCUGAGCUGCCAAUCCGUUUGCCCCUCACAGUUCCGACUCUACCCUCCUCUCUCCAGCUCUAUCAAUGGCAGCAACAUUAAUAUUAAUGAGAGGAAUUAAUACACAUUUCCCGGAAAAGGUCAAGGAAAACAGAGCCACAAAAGACUGAGCACAAUUAGUGUGCUCGGUGUUUGGUAAACAUUAUUUCAUUAAAUCCAGACGAUGUAGCACUCAGAGGUCAAACUACUGUGGGCAUCAGGAAAACAUAACUAAGAGCAAUCCGAUUUAUGCACAGCCUGCGGUGGGGCCUCAUUACAACACAACCCCUGAUCCCUAUACUUCGGAAUGCCUGAUAGAAGAUCAGCUUUACAACAGAGAAUGAAGACCUUUUUCCUUGGAGUCCCAGAACUCCAAGUCAAACAUUUACGAUAUGACAAAUAAAAGCUAUGUUCUAAUGCAA